AGAUGCCUCCCCAUAACACUGACCAUCCCAACUGCAGCCCAGUACCAAACCAGGCGUGGCCAGUGACAGUAGGACCAUGCACUGCACACCAUGCUAUGCCUUAUCCCAAUGGAGUACACAGGUCUUGCCCCUCCCUGAAUGGAACUACGACAUGCGUGCUAUGCAUAGCCCUGUGGCAUGGCCUGCAAACCCCCACAACUGCCUUUAACCUCUCACCCUGACUAUGAGGUGCACUAAUCCCCAGGACUGCCCUUAAUCUCUCAAGCCGACCUCUUGACCCCAGACCAGGGACUAUGACUGUCUUUCAAUGAGCUCUCCUGUUCCUUCUUUACUGAUAACACAGUCUCCCUCUUCUACCCCCUCUAUGAGUCUCUGUGCAAGCCUUUCCCCCCACCACCUCUAUGCAACCCAUCCCUCUUGUACCACACUAACACACCCACCCCACCCCUUAACCCCAGAUUCUGGGGUAUGGGUGCAUCCCCUCCCAUUCAUAGUUAGGUUCCCAUUCACCUUCCUCUGCGUCUGCAUUUUUGUCUUCAUGCCGAGCUCCAGCUUCCCCACCCUCAGUCUCCCCCACCUCCCUCUCCAACCUACCAGUGAACAUUGUCCCGUGUCUCCUCCCCCCACACUCCUCUCCAACACCACCACUGCCUAUUGCCCGUGUCUCUUUUCCACACCACCCCGCAACUGUACCUUUGCUUCCCCAUCCCCCACCAUGUCUCCAUCUUCCUUCCCAACCACCAUCAGCCCCCUGUCCCCCAUCGCCACCUGCCUCUGAUCACAAAGCAAGUCUCCGACUUGUCUGCAGCCCUCCCUGAGCCCGCAGAAGACAUCCUCCAGGAGAAAGGAGGAAGCCGGUGAGCAGGGUGUAGGGUUGCUCUGCUCACCAUCAGUUUAGCAUCUCACUGCCAUUGGUGGGAACCCGGAGUGGCGCUGUUGCAGGCAACGCACUAUGAACAUAUGAAACAGGAGCAGAAGUAGGCCAUUCGGCCCCUUGAGAUCCUGAGUGGGAAGGGAGGAAGCAGGAGUUCAAUACUUAUCUACAAUUCUAAGCACUCACCUCUUUAAUGUAAUUCUUUUCCAAUUAUAGCAACUGAAUUAGAUGGUGGAAGAUUGGUAUUGAACAUAAAAUUCGAGGUUUCAAAUAACAGUUUUACAUAGAUGGGAUCUCAAACCAUUAUUGGUUUCAAUAACACCAGGAGACCAGCUUGUGGAGGAUGAAGCUGAGCACUUGGCGGAGAAGCCGAAUAGUAGGCUGGGCAACAGCGUAAUGGACUGGAAGCAUUGCUUCCACUGUGGCACUUUGGAUGUAAUACCUACGACAAGCAUGCAAAGAAAU